rnacentral:lncRNA from 1 species
CUCUCUGGCGGACAGAUCAAAGCUGCACUGAUUCAUUGGAUUAGUCACUGAUCGUCGGCUGGAAUUAAGGCUUCGGUUGGUGGAAUUGGACUUGGGUGAGAUGGUGGAUUUUGCUGCAUUAUUGGAGGGGUUUGGAAUUUUUAAGGUGGAGAUUAGGGCUUUUUAUUGUGGAAAAGAAUUAAGCUCCUCUCUUCAAUUCUGUUUCCCGC